rnacentral:rRNA from 1 species
ACGAAUCGCACAUCCCAAUGCAAGGCAGCAGGCCAGCAAAGUAACACACUUCCAUACCGGCAGAGGGAGGUCGAAACAUAACGAGACGAGUCCUGUUCGAGGUCGGUCAUCGGAAUGGGUACAAGUUCAAUCCUUUACCGAGGAUCUAUUGGAGGGCAAGUCUGGUCCAGCACACGCGGUAAUUCCAGCUCCAAUACCGUAUAUUAAAGUAAAGGCGGUUAAAACACUAAUAUUGGAUCUGCGGCCGGAGAGAACGGUCCCCUGAAAGGGCGGUAGCCGUUACUCUUGCCAUAAAUCCUCUCUUUCCUCUUCGGCGCCCUUCCCCGGGGGGUUAGAGUGACCGGAACGUUUACUUUGAAAAAAUUAGAGUGUUUAAAGCAGGCGAAUUCUCGUGAAUAAGGUCCAUGGAAUAAUGGAAUAGGCCCUCGGUUUUAUUUUGUUGGUUUUCGGAGCCCGUGGUAAUGAUUAAGAGGAACAGUCGGGGGCAUUAGUAUUCCGGCGUUAGAGGUGAAAUUCUUGGACCGCCGGAAGACGGACGACUGCGAAAGCAUUUGCCAAGAAUGUUUUCAUUAAUCAAGAACGAAAGUUAGAGGUUCGAAGGCGAUCAGAUACCGCCGUAGUUUUAACCGUAAACGAUGACAACCAGGGAUUAGCCGGCGUUAAUAUAUGACCCGCUUAGCACCUUCCGGGAAACCAAAGUUUUUGGUUUCCGGGGGAAGUAUGGUUGCAAAGCUGAAACUAAAGGAAUGACGAAG